rnacentral:lncRNA from 7 species
AUCAGCAUGUUUCUACUCAGCUUUCCUUUGGGCAAAGGAGUCUCUCUCGAUAUCGUAGUUCAGAGAAAAGGAGUAAUAUGUGAUUAUAUGCUGUUGAAGGCCACAUUGUAUAGUUACGAGUGAGUAAUACUGGCUGUGUUCAUCAAGGCAAUGAGUAACAGCAUGGCUUACUUAGAAUGACAACUACAAACUUUACAGUCUGAAGAAAGAUCUUUAACUAACUGCCUGUGUAUUGCUACUGCCUCUGUAGAUUUAAUAAAAGAAUGUUUUACCAUGCACCUAAAUUUUAGCUAUUCAAGCCAGGAAGCGAAUUAGAAACCCCAAUGAAAUGGGGCAGGUCUGAAGGGGUGGAAGUAAUACUUCCAGUACAAUUUAAUUUGGGCAGAGUAGCAUUUCUCUUCUUUCAUAUAUGAAUGUGGAAGUAGUGGCUUUUUUUUCCCUUGUUGAAGCCUUCUGAUACAUAGUUUGAACAAAAGAUAUUCUCUCAGAUUGAAAACUAAAUAUGCUUGAAUGAAUCUAGCUAGAGCAUCCAAAAAGAAGCCACGAAGACCUGUAGCACAAAUUCUUCAGGUUGCCUGUGAAGAGCUUCAUCUGGAAGGCUGUGAGGUUAAAUUCAAAGGCCACACAAAUACCCUGGACCAAAAGGAAGAAUGGAAGAGAUACUCAAACAACAAUGUCCGAACUAUUCUAAUGCACUGAUUCCCUCCAUGAUGUCGUUUGGAGAAUGACACUGACACCCCUCGACUCAUAAGGAAAGAGAGGAUUAUUUUGUCCUAGCACCAAAAUGAAGUUAGAUCUGAAAAGAAGACAUUAAAUCAGAAACCUCUCUACAUUGCUGGCAAAUCUCUGAGGUGCUGGGUGUGCCAGAACAGAGAAUCCACAUCAUUCUUGGGAAGUCAGCCAGGACGCCUGCUGCUUUGUGCUACUAUCUCCUGUGUGCAUCUGACAAAGAAAAAAACUAGGUUUUAAAUAUGUUCACAGCUUGUUAAAACUGAACAGAAUUGUGAAUACAGAGACCAGCAGUUAGAACUGCUUCAGUUUUCAAGAAAGAGGGUAACAAGCAUAAAUAUCUUAACACUUAAAGCAGGAGAUUUAGAAGUACACAUUCUCCAGUGUACUCAUUUCCAGGCAGUGCCAAAAUUGGAUGCUAGGAGUAGGAGAGGAUAUGUCCUGCAAACUAAGAGAUAUGCAUUCUGAUUACUAUGCAUGAAUAUAUGCAAAUUGUUAUCUCUGUGCUUUGCUUUCUCCAGGAAAUAGAGGAAAAUUGUAGCCAGAUGAAAUAAUUGUAUCAAUUAUUUUUCUUUCUUAUGAAAGAUCCUUCCUCUUUAUCCACACCCUGCAACGUGUGCCAUGCUUUGCAUGCUGUUUCUGAGCCCUCUGACUUGCUGACCUUCUGUGGGCAAAUAAAGGUCUGAUGUAACUU